rnacentral:tRNA from 1 species
GAGUGCUUCGCUCAGUUGCUAGAGCGUCGCCCUUGCAAGGCUGCGGUCAGCGGUUUUACCCGUUAGCACCCC